rnacentral:rRNA from 1 species
UACAGAGGGGGCAAGCGUUGUUCGGAAUUACUGGGCGUAAAGGGCGCGUAGGCGGCCUUCUAAGUCGAACGUGAAAUCCCUGGGCUCAACCCAGGAGCUGCGUCCGAUACUGGAAGGCUUGAAUCCGGGAGAGGGAUGCGGAAUUCCAGGUGUAGCGGUGAAAUGCGUAGAUAUCAGGAGGAACACCUGUGGUGUAGACGGCUUACUGGACCAUGACUGACGCUGAGGCACGAAAGCGUGGGGAGCAAACAGG